GACGAACGCUGGCGGCGUGCUUAACACAUGCAAGUCGAACGGAAAGGCCCUGCUUUUGUGGGGUGCUCGAUUGGCGAACGGGUGAGUAACACGUGAGUAACCUGCCCUUGACUUUGGGAUAACUUCAGGAAACUGGGGCUAAUACCGGAUAGGAGCUCCUGCUGCAUGGUGGGGGUUGGAAAGUUUCGGCGGUUGGGGAUGGACUCGCGGCUUAUCAGCUUGUUGGUGUGGUAGUGGCUUACCAAGGCUUUGACGGGUAGCCGGCCUGAGAGGGUGACCGGCCACAUUGGGACUGAGAUACGGCCCAGACUCCUACGGGAGGCAGCAGUGGGGAGUAUUGCACAAUGGGCGGAAGCCUGAUGCAGCAGCGCCGCGUGCGGGAUGACGGCCUUCGGGUUGUAAACCGAUUUCGCCUGAGACGAAGCGUGCGUGACGGUAAUGGGUAAAGAAGCACCGGCUAACUACGUG
rnacentral:rRNA from 1 species